rnacentral:rRNA from 1 species
UACGAAGGGGGCUAGCGUUGCUCGGAAUGACUGGGCGUAAAGGGCGCGUAGGCGGCUGUGACAGUCAGAUGUGAAAUUCCUGGGCUCGAACCUGGGGCUGCAUUGAUACGUGAUGGCUGGAGUGGGGAAGAGGGUCGUGGAAUUCCCAGUGUAGAAGGUGAAAUUCGUAGAUAUUGGGAAGAACACCGGUGGCGAAGGCGGCGACCUGGUCCUUGACUGACGCUGAGGCGCGAAAGCGUGGGGAGCAAACAGG